ACGGCUCAGUAACACGUGGAUAACCUGCCCUUAGGUUUGGCAUAACUCCGGGAAACUGGAGAUAAUUCCGAAUAGGUCAAAUAUGCUGGAAUGCCUUUUGGCCAAAAGACUUCGGUUGCCUAAGGAUGGAUCUGCGGUCUAUCAGGUAGUAGUGGGUGUAACGUACCUACUAGCCUACGACGGAUAUGGGUUGUGAGAGCAAGAGCCCAGAGAUGGAUUCUGAGACAUGAAUCCAGGCCCUACGGGGCGCAGCAGGCGCGAAAACUUUACAAUGCGGGAAACCGCGAUAAGGGGACACCGAGUGCCAGCAUUUAUGUUGGCUGUCCACAUGUGUAAACGGCAUGUGUUAGCAAGGGCCGGGCAAGACCGGUGCCAGCCGCCGCGGUAACACCGGCGGCCCGAGUGGUAAUCGCUUUUAUUGGGUCUAAAGGGUCCGUAGCCGGUUUGAUCAGUUCUUCGGGAAAUCUGACAGCUCAACUGUUAGGCUUCCGGGGAAUACUGUCAGACUUGGGACCGGGAGAGGUAAGAGGUACUACAGGGGUAGGAGUGAAAUCUUGUAAUCCCUGUGGGACCACCAGUGGCGAAGGCGUCUUACCAGAACGGGUCCGACGGUGAGGGACGAAAGCUGGGGGCACGAACCGGAUUAGAUACCCGGGUAGUCCCAGCCGUAAACGAUGUUCGCUAGGUGUCAGGGGCGGUGCGACCGCUUCCGGUGCCGUAGGGAAGCCGUGAAGCGAACCACCUGGGAAGUACGGCCGCAAGGCUGAAACUUAAAGGAAUUGGCGGGGGAGCACUACAACGGGUGGAGCCUGCGGUUUAAUUGGAAUCAACGCCGG
rnacentral:rRNA from 1 species